rnacentral:rRNA from 1 species
ACGGGAGGCAGCAGUGGGGAAUAUUGCACAAUGGGGGAAACCCUGAUGCAGCGAUGCCGCGUGAAGGAAGAAGUUCUUCGGAAUGUAAACUUCUAUCAGCAAGGAAGAAAACGGACAGUACUUGACUAAGAAGCCCCGGCUAACUACGUGCCAGCAGCCGCGGUAAUACGUAGGGGGCAAGCGUUAUCCGGAUUUACUGGGUGUAAAGGGAGCGCAGGCGGUAACGCAAGCCAGAGGUGAAAACCCGGGGCUCAACCCCGAGGAUUGCCUUUGGAACUGUGGAACUGGAGUGCUGGAGGGGCAGGCGGAAUUCCUGGUGUAGCGGUGAAAUGCGUAGAUAUCAGGAGGAACACCGGUGGCGAAGGCGGCCUGCUGGACAGUAACUGACGCUGAGGCUCGAAAGCGUGGGGAGCAAACAGGAUUAGAUACCCUGGUA